CCUCUCGGGGUUACAGCCUUGCUGAAUUAUUCACCCUUGUCUUUUGCGUACUUCUUGUUUCCUUGGUGGGUUCGCCCACCACUAGGACAAACAUAAACCUUUUGUAAUUGCAAUCAGCGUCAGUAACAAAUUAAUAAUUACAACUUUCAACAACGGAUCUCUUGGUUCUGGCAUCGAUGAAAACGCAGCGAAAUGCGAUAAGUAGUGUGAAUUGCAGAAUUCAGUGAAUCAUCGAAUCUUUGAACGCACAUUGCGCCCUUUGGUAUUCCAAAGGGCAUGCCCGUUCGAGCGUCAUUUGUACCCUCAAGCUUUGCUUGGUGUUGGGCGUCUUGUCUCUAGCUUUGCUGGAGACUCGCCUUAAAGUAAUUGGCAGCCGGCCUACUGGUUCCGGAGCGCAGCACAAGUCGCACUCUCUAUCAGCAAAGGUCUAGCAUCCAUUAAGCCUUUUUUUUCAACUUUUGACCUCGGAUCAGGUAGGGAUACCCGCUGAACUUAAGCAUAUCA
rnacentral:rRNA from 1 species